rnacentral:rRNA from 1 species
UACAGAGGUCUCAAGCGUUGUUCGGAUUCAUUGGGCGUAAAGGGUGUGUAGGUGGCGCGCUAAGUCGGGUGUGAAAUUUCGGAGCUUAACUCCGAAACUGCAUUUGAUACUGGCGUGCUUGAGGACUGGAGAGGAGACUGGAAUUCAUGGUGUAGCAGUGAAAUGCGUAGAGAUCAUGAGGAAGACCAGUGGCGAAGGCGGGUCUCUGGACAGUUCCUGACGCUGAGGCACGAAGGCCAGGGGAGCAAACGGG